GAUAGAUUUUUAUUGACUUUUUAGUACAUGUGUACUUGUUGUUUUGUUUAUUUCAAUUAAUGUGGUUUUUCUGCCAUAUUUAACAUAGAGAAAUCGAAUUUAAACAUUUGUGUAGCUUCCACAUACUGCCAUAUACGGAGUAAAACAAUUCAGCAACAAAUAAUCGGAUUAGGAACCCUCAAAUUAUAAUUUCCAAAGUUGCUGAAAUAAAUUUUUUAAUUGAGUUAUCA
rnacentral:lncRNA from 1 species